UAAGAGAGUUUGAUCCUGGCUCAGGAUGAACGCUGGCGGUAUGCCUAACACAUGCAAGUCGUACGAGAGUUUUUAACUCUAGUGGCGGACGGGUGAGUAACACGUGAGAAUUUGCCUUUAGGAGGGGGAUAACAAUCGGAAACGAAUGCUAAUACCCCAUAUGCUUUCGAGUGAAAUGGAUUUAUAUUUAUCCGCCUAGAGAGAAGCUCGCGGCUGAUUAGCUUGUUGGUAAGGUAAGAGCUUACCAAGGCGACGAUCAGUAUCUGGUUUGAGAGGACGAUCAGACACACUGGAACUGAGACACGGUCCAGACUCCUACGGGAGGCAGCAG
rnacentral:rRNA from 1 species